GGAGUCUGGGCCGUGUCUCAGUCCCAAUGUGGCCGUUCAACCUCUCAGUCCGGCUACCGAUCGUCGACUUGGUGCGCCGUUACCGUCACCAACUAUCUAAUCGGACGCGAGCUCAUCCCUGAUCAAUGAAUCUUUGACACCAAAACCAUGCGAUCCCGAUGUGUUAUGCCGUAUUAGCAGAAAUUUCUCUCUGUUAUCCCGCAAUCAGGGGCAGAUUGCUCACGCGUUACUCACCCGUCCGCCACUGAUGAUGAAACCGAAGCCUCAUCAUCCGUUCGACUUGAAUGUGUUAUGCACGCCGCCAGCGUUAAUCCUGAGCCAGGAUCAAACUACU
rnacentral:rRNA from 1 species